UUAGAAAUAACGUGUUGUGAUAGUUGUCUUAUUCUCCUGCUUUUAAUACCGAGAAUAAGUCCAUUGUUGCACCAUGUUAUUUCCAC
ncrna:Saccoglossus kowalevskii microRNA sko-mir-4841 precursor (sko-mir-4841-1)